GCGUUCAUAGCUCAGUUGGUUAGAGCGCCACCUUGACAUGGUGGGGGUCGUUGGUUCGAGUCCAAUUGAACGCACCA
rnacentral:tRNA from 2 species